rnacentral:lncRNA from 1 species
UUCUUUCUUACCUAUAAUUAUUUCACUAAUGUUUGUGGAUUCUUAAUUGAGGUCCGACUAAUAUGCUUUUUGAUGUAGAUGAUAUCUCCUUUAAAUUAGAACAGCUCUCAGGGAAAAAUUCUAGUGAUCACUUUUGGAGCAAACUAUGCGGGUGCCAUGCAAAGGGAGUAUUUUGUUUCUUCUCUGUCUUCAUUUUAUUUUCUUGUGCAGAAUGUGUUCAUAGAUAGUGAGGACACUGUUUGAAAUAAGUUUGGGGGUAUUGGAUCUUUAGAGUUUAAAUUGUCUUUUUCUAGUUUAUCAUUUCUCUUUUUUAUACACUUAAGGGCUAAGUUUUUCACCAUAAGUAGUUAAUAAAGCAUAACGGAAUUGAUAUUUUAUUUUGACUAAGAUUAUGGUUAUUUU